rnacentral:rRNA from 1 species
UACGUAGGGCGCAAGCGUUGUCCGGAAUUAUUGGGCGUAAAGAGCUCGUAGGCGGCUUGUCACGUCGGAUGUGAAAGCCCGGGGCUUAACUCCGGGUCUGCAUUCGAUACGGGCUAGCUAGAGUGUGGUAGGGGAGAUCGGAAUUCCUGGUGUAGCGGCGAAAUGCGCAGAUAUCAGGAGGAACACCGGUGGCGAAGGCGGAUCUCUGGGCCAUUACUGACGCUGAGGAGCGAAAGCGUGGGGAGCGAACAGG